rnacentral:misc_RNA from 1 species
GAUGAAGAACGCAGCGAAAUGCGAUACGUAAUGUGAAUUGCAGAAUUCAGUGAAUCAUCGAGUCUUUGAACGCACAUUGCGCCCUGUGGUAUUCCGCAGGGCAUGCCUGUUCGAGCGUCAUUUCAACCCUCAAGCCCCGCUUGGUGUUGGGCCCCGCCCGCCGUGGCCGGCCCUAAAGACAGUGGCGGCGCCGCCUGGCCCUCAGCGUAGUACAGCUCUCGCUCCAGGGUCCGGCGGCCGCCUGCCAGAACCCCCCAACUCUGUGGUUGACCUCGGAUCAGGUAGGGAUACCCGCUGAACUUAAGCAUAUCAAUAAGCGGAGGA